rnacentral:tRNA from 1 species
GUUCAGGGGUAUGGUAGCCGAGUGGGUAAAGCGCUUUAUUUACUCGGUACCAAAUAUCGAUGGUUCGAAUCCAUCCCGGAGCA